rnacentral:rRNA from 1 species
UGCCAGCAGCCGCGGUAAUACGGAGGGUGCGAACGUUAAUCGGAAUUACUGGGCGUAAAGCGCGUGUAGGUGGUUCGCCAAGUGGGAUGUGAAAGCCCGGGGCUCAACCUCGGAAUUGCAUUCCAAACUGGCGAACUAGAGUACGAGAGAGGGGGGUAGAAUUCAGAGUGUAGCGGUGAAAUGCGUAGAUAUAUGGGAGAACACCAAUGGCGAAAGCAGUCUUCUGGACGAACACUGACGCUGAGGCGUGAAAGCGUGGGUAGCGAACAGGAUUAGAUA